rnacentral:rRNA from 1 species
UGCCAGCAGCCGCGGUAAUACGGAGGGGGCUAGCGUUGUUCGGAAUCACUGGGCGUAAAGCGCGCGUAGGCGGAUUGAUUAGUUGGGGGUGAAAUCCCGGGGCUCAACCUCGGAACUGCCUUCAAUACUGUCAGUCUUGAGUUCGUGAGAGGUAAGUGGAAUUCCGAGUGUAGAGGUGAAAUUCGUAGAUAUUCGGAAGAACACCAGUGGCGAAGGCGACUUACUGGCACGAUACUGACGCUGAGGUGCGAAAGCGUGGGGAGCAAACAGGAUUAGAUA